ACCUUCUGUGGUGUAGUUGGUAGCGCCUUGGCAUUGAAACUAUAAGUCCUAGGUUCAAGUCCUGGUCGGGGUA